AGCAACAAAGUAGGUAGCACAGUGAGUUUUGUGGAGGUAGAUGGUGAAGAUAACUCAUGGACCAAAGAAAAGAUAACACCAAGUGACAGAGAAAGAGAUGACAGUAAAAGAAGAGAAUAUUCGUUUCAGGAAUGCGUUUACGCCCUAAAUUUCUUCAACUUUGUUUUGUUCUCGGUAGCUAACAGUUUCACCACCAUGAUUUUUAUGUUUUUGUUAUCAUCUUAGAUUGUGCUUGCUGAAGUCCGCAUUCAGUUGUAAGCAAAUUUACUCAAGAACUGGUGGUCAAUAGUUGAUUGCAGUUUUGGCCAAAUGCGGAUUUCAUUCAUGCCUGCUUUAAAUUCCCGGUCUUUCCGCGAAUAUAAGCGAUAAUGGAACCAGCGUGAACAGCAUUUAAUGUAUUGUAUAUGACUGUACUUAUUUGAUUUAUUGCCAAGGAACGACUGAUGUUUGGAUGUAUGGAGGACGUUUGUAUACGAUCUGUAAUGAGGCUACGAACAUAAACUGUACUCAUUUCCUCUUAUACUUUUAUUAGUUUAUUUGUAAAUUCGAAAUCGUUUUAGUUCAACAGUUUCAGUUGUUUUGAAAUUUGGAUUACUGUUCUACAAAGGAGUGAGGGGCGGUGGUAGGAGCGGAGGCUGGAGCGCUUCAAUAUUAUAGUGUAUCAUUGUUUUCGAGAAAAUAAGAUUAUAUUUGAAUGUAAUUGUAAACAAAGUUUCAAAAAACAAGUCGCUGCUGGCAUACUGCAAGGCAUUAAUGCGUAUACGUACACGGAUACAUCAAAUAUCAUCUCAAACCUCACUUCGGGAUAUGACACGCUGGUUCGACCUGAUGGCAUGACCAACAUUAGCCUAAGCUUCGGUUUAUUGUCUAUAGGUGAAGUGAACACAGUCACCCAGGAAUUUGCUUUGAUGGGAUUUUUUAUAGCUGAAUGGAAUGAUCCAAGACUAACAUGGACCCCGUCUGAUUAUGGCAACACAUACAACGCUAUGAUGAGAACCAUCGAUAUCUGGGCACCACCUAUGCUUGUAAACAAUGCG